rnacentral:rRNA from 1 species
GAUGAACGCUGGCUACAGGCUUAACACAUGCAAGUCGAGGGGAAACGGCAUUGAGUGCUUGCACUGAAUGGACGUCGACCGGCGCACGGGUGAGUAACGCGUAUCCAACCUUCCCGUUACUGCGGGAUAACCUGCCGAAAGGCAGACUAAUACCGCAUGUUCUUCGAUGACGGCAUCAGAUUCGAAGCAAAGAUCCGUCGGUAACGGAGGGGGAUGCGUCUGAUUAGCUAGUUGGCGGGGCGACGGCCCACCAAGGCGACGAUCAGUAGGGGUUCUGAGAGGAAGGUCCCCCACAUUGGAACUGAGACACGGUCCAAACUCCUACGGGAGGCAGCAGUGAGGAAUAUUGGUCAAUGGGCGGAAGCCUGAACCAGCCAAGUAGCGUGCAGGAGGACGGCCCUACGGGUUGUAAACUGCUUUUAUGCGGGGAUAAAGUCAGGGACGCGUCCCUUUUUGCAGGUACCGCAUGAAUAAGGACCGGCUAAUUCCGUG